UACGUAGGGGGGCGAGCGUUGUCCGGAGUUACUGGGCGUAAAGGGCGUGCAGGCGGUGCGGUAAGUUUAGCGUGACAGUCUCCGGCUUAACUGGAGAAGGCCGCUGAAAACUGCUGGACUUGAGGGCCAGAGAGGGACAUAGAAUUCCGGGUGGAGUGGUGAAAUGCGUAGAUAUCCGGAGGAAUACCAAAGGCGAAGGCAGUGUCCUGGCUGGCAACUGACGCUGAGGCGCGAAAGCUAGGGGAGCGAACAGG
rnacentral:rRNA from 1 species